AUCCAGCUGACUAGUCCCAAACAGGACGAAACGCGCGUCCUGGAU
rfam:Schistosoma curassoni strain Dakar, Senegal genome assembly, scaffold: SCTD_scaffold0002007